rnacentral:rRNA from 1 species
UACGAGGGGGGCAAGCGUUGUUCGGAAUUAUUGGGCGUAAAGGGUGCGUAGGCUGUGCGGUAAGUCACCUGUGAAAACUCUGGGCUCAACCCAGAGCCUGCAGGCGAAACUGCCGUGCUGGAGUAUGGGAGAGGUGCGUGGAAUUCCCGGUGUAGCGGUGAAAUGCGUAGAUAUCGGGAGGAACAUCAGUGGCGAAGGCGGCUGCCUGGCCCAAUACUGACACUCAGGUGCGACAGCGUGGGGAGCAAACAGG